AUGGCUACCGCGAAUCAGAACGUUCACGCUCCUUCUCUUUCAAUCGUCGCCGUGAAUCCUCAGAUUUCAUCGUCUUCAUCCCUCUCUGCUGCGAACCUUUUAUUCUUCAUCAAUGACAUCUCAGUUUUGCUCACAACUUGCUAUACUUUUCCGUUUCCGACUAGUCAACACUUGUGCGUUAGUCUCAGUUUUUACUUCUUCUCUGAUUCAUCUUCGAUUCGAAUUUGCUUCGAUUCUAACAGCUCUGACAGACAUCGGAAGAACUUCCCGAUGUCUCUUUAA